CUGGUAGAGUAUAAUUAUUUUGUCAAAUUCCUCUCUCUUUUUUACUGUAGAACAAAUUUCGUCAAAUUCGGGCUCGCUUUGGAUCGGUAAAUUGCGAGAGGGCCCAAAUUUUGGAGCUACGGGUGCCGCGAGAGAUAAGAAGAUGCGGCCGUUCGCGUCGCUGUGUCGUGCACGUUGGUACAUGGUACUACGCGUAUUUGCUUGUUUGAU
rnacentral:lncRNA from 1 species